UAUUGCACAAUGGGGGGAACCCUGAUGCAGCGACGCCGCGUGAGUGAAGAAGUAUUUCGGUACGUAAAGCUCUAUCAGCAGGGAAGAAANUGGCGGUACCUGAUUAAGAAGCCCCGGCUAACUACGUGCCAGCAGCCGCGGUAAUACGUAGGGGGCAAGCGUUAUCCGGAUUUACUGGGUGUAAAGGGAGCGUAGACGGCAGCACAAGUCUGGAGUGAAAUGCCGGGGCUUAACCCCGGAACUGCUUUGGAAACUGUGCAGCUAGAGUGCAGGAGAGGCAAGUGGAAUUCUUAGUGUAGCGGUGAAAUGCGUAGAUAUUAGGAGGAACACCAGUGGCGAAGGCGGCUUGCUGGACUGUAACUGACACUGAGGCUCGAAAGCGUGGGGAGCAAACAG
rnacentral:rRNA from 1 species